CCCAGAAUGAACAAGAGGGGAAAGGAUGACAGAGGAAGAAGGCAUUAUGUCUCAUUAAUACCAUGGGAGGUGGAAGUCCAGCUCCCCAAAUGGUCUCCACUGACACCAUGGAAGAGGGGCCUUGUUCACCACCUGAUGGAAGAAAUGACAGGACAUCAAGGAGAAGCAUCAUAUUUUUAAACGUUAUGCAUUUUA